CAGGGAGAAACCUCAUACAGGUAAAACUGUUAUUGGACAGGGAGAAACCUCAUACAGGUAAAACUGUUAUUGGACAGGGAGGGAGAAACCUCAUACAGGUAAAACUGUUAUUGGACAGGGAGAAACCUCAUACAGGUAAAACUGUUAUUGGACAGGGAGAAACCUCAUACAGGUAAAACUGUUAUUGGACAGGGAGAAACCUCAUACAGGUAAAACUGUUAUUGGACAGGGAGAAACCUCAUACAGGUAAAACUGUUAUUGGACAGGGAGAAACCUCAUACAGGUAAAACUGUUAUUGGACAGGGAGAAACCUCAUACAGGUAAAACUGUUAUUGGACAGGGAGAAACCUCAUACAGGUAAAACUGUUAUUGGACAGGGAGAAACCUCAUACAGGUAAAACUGUUAUUGGACAGGGAGAAACCUCAUACAGGUAAAACUGUUAUUGGACAGGGAGAAACCUCAUACAGGUAAAACUGUUAUUGGACAGGGAGAAACCUCAUACAGGUAAAACUGUUAUUGGACAGGGAGAAACCUCAUACAGGUAAAACUGUUAUUGGACAGGGAGAAACCUCAUACAGGUCAAACUGUUAUUGGACAGGGAGAAACCUCAUACAGGUCAAACUGUUAUUGGACAGGGAGGGAGAAACCUCAUACAGG